UACGUAGGGGGCUAGCGUUGUCCGGAAUCGUUGGGCGUAAAGCGCGUGUAGGCGGUUCGGUAAGUCUGCUGUGAAAGUCGGGGGCUCAACCCUCGAAUGCCGGUGGAUACUGUCGGACUAGAGUGCGGAAGAGGCGAGUGGAAUUCCUGGUGUAGCGGUGAAAUGCGCAGAUAUCAGGAGGAACACCAAUUGCGAAGGCAGCUCGCUGGGACGUUACUGACGCUGAGACGCGAAAGCGUGGGGAGCAAACAGG
rnacentral:rRNA from 1 species